AUCGCUCGACCCUUCGCCCGGUUUGUCGGCUCGCUUGCUUUUGUGCGGCAGCGGUGAUGGCCAACGUUCAGCGCGCGUCUGCUGGUUGUGCUGGGCCUCUACGCUCCUGGCAACUCCUGUAAUGAGUGGUUCUCCGGUUGCUUCUGCGGAUCGACCGGACUUUGCAAAUGCUCAGCGUUCGAGAACAACAAGAAAAUCUAGGGACAAGCUCCACCGGCCCAGCCAGUCGGCGAGAGGCAGACACACAGCAGACGCAGCGUCAAACCAUCAACAUCAUUGUGUGUGGCCGUGGCAUCCGAGCAGCUGUAAUUGGGACAAGUGUCGCCAGCAUCUCACUUUACCAUGGACAAAACGCCUUAUGUUCUCUUGGAGCGAAUCGACGCCGAUUCACAGCGG